rnacentral:lncRNA from 1 species
AAAAUCUUACCUUAUGGUCAGACAUUAAAAUUGGAUAAAUUUGUCUAUAAGGUAUUAAGAAUUGGGUUUGACUUCAAUAAUGCACAAGUGCAGUGGCAAGUUUUGCCAUAUUGGCCAGUGUGGUUCCAAGCUCCUGCCUCAAGUGAUCCACCCACCUAGGCCUCCCAAAGUGCUGGGAUUGUAGACGUGAACCACCAUGCCCAGCCACCAUACUGAUGCUCUCUGAUUGAGCUCCUCUUUACCCUGAAUACAACAAGAGACUCCGAUAGUUAGGCAGGCAUAUCAAUGCCCCUGUUCAGCAUGAAUAAGUUACAGCAGAUGAAUCUUCAUUCCUCUGCAACCCUUAGGAUUAAGGGUUCUCUUUUAAAACUGAGGGGUGAAAUGUCAGAUGCAUUUGAAAACUCCAUCUUGAAUAGGGGCUGUGAAAAAUAAGCCUGAGAGCUAGUGGGCUGCAUUCCCAGGAGGUUAAGGCAUUCUUAGUCACAGAAUGAGAGAGGAGGUCAGCACAAGAUACAGGUCAUAAAGACCUUGCUGAUAACACACUCUGUGGUAAAGAAGCCAGCCCAAACCCACCAAAACCAAGAUGGCAACAAGAGUGACCUCUGGUCUUCCUCACUGCUUAUUAUAUGCUAAUUAUAAUGUAUUAUGUGCUAAUUAUAUACAUUAUAUGCUAAUUAUAAUGCAUUAGCAUACUAAGAGAUACUCCCACCAGUGCCAUGACAGUUUACAAAUACCAUGGCAACAUCAGGAAGUUACCCUAUAUGGUCUAAAAAAGGAGAAGCCCCCAGUUCUGGUAACUGCUCCCUUCUUUCCCAGAAAACUCAAGAAUAAUCCACCCCUUAUUUAGCAUAUAAUCAAGAAAUAACCACAAAAAUGGGCAACCAGUGACCCAUGCUGCUGUUCUGCCUAUGGAGUAGCCAUUUUUUUUAUUCCUUUAUUUUCUUUUUUUUUAAAAAAGACUCUAUCCAGUUUGUUCUCUCUCAAUUUUAGAAAAACAUCUUUCACACUUUCCCUCAAAUAUUGAGCCAUAUAAAAUCAUUGUUCAAUUUAACUUUAAAUUGACUUUAACAAUGACAACUUAAGGUACUAUGUUAGAUGCAGUAAACCAAACAGAGUCUUCAAAUCUAAACAUUCUUGACAAUCAAGUAGGAAUGACACACUUUUUUUUCAUUUAACAUUUCAACCUAACCGUGGAGAUGUAGAGGAUUUAUGUCCUUUCCCUUUUGAUUUUGUGUAUGUUCUGCAAUUGCUUUAAUCAUCAGAAAACUAUAGAAGUGACACUGUACCUGUUUCUGUGCCUACGCCUGAUGAAACUGACAGCUUCCGCUACCUGUUUCUUAGAACAAUCGCUCUUGAAAACCAGCCACCAUGGUGUGAGGAAGACCAAGCAAUCCCGUGGAGAAGCCCACAUAGAGGAGAACUGGCGGUCCCAGACUGAAGUCCUUUUGAGUUCCCAGACAACAGUCAGUACAAAUUUGCCUUUUAAGAGAGUGAGCUAUUGUGUAAAUGACUUCUCUGGAUCCAGGAAAGCCUAGUUCUUGACCUACAAAAUCAUGAGCAAAAUAAAAUUCCUCUUUUAAGACAUUAUCU